rfam:Dacryopinax sp. DJM-731 SS1 chromosome Tnknown DACRYscaffold_25, whole genome shotgun sequence.
GCCCGUUUAGCUCAGUGGUAGAGCGUGUCACUCGUAAUGAUAAGGUCGAUCGUUCGAUCCGGUCAAUGGGCA